GACGAACGCUGGCGGCGUGCUUAACACAUGCAAGUCGAACGGAAAGGCCCUGCUUUUGUGGGAUGCUCGAGUGGCGAACGGGUGAGUCACACGUGAGUAACCUGCCCUUGACUUUGGUAUAACUUCAGGAAACUGGGGCUAAUACCGGAUUGGAGCUCCUGCUGCAUGGUGGGGGUUGGAAAGUUUCGGCGGUUGGGGAUGGACUCGCGGCUUAUCAGCUUGUUGGUGGGGUAGUGGCUUACCAAGGCAUUGACGGGUAGCCGGCCUGAGAGGGUGACCGGCCACAUUGGGACUGAGAUACGGCCCAGACUCCUACGGGAGGCAGCAGUGGGGAAUAUUGCACAAUGGGCGGAAGCCUGAUGCAGCAACGCCGCGUGCGGGAUGACGGCCUUCGGGUUGUAAACCGCUUUCGCCUGUGACGAAGCGUGAGUGACGGUAAUGGGUAAAGAAGCACCGGCUAACUACGUG
rnacentral:rRNA from 1 species